UACAGAGGUCCCGAGCGUUGUUCGGAUUCACUGGGCGUAAAGGGUGCGUAGGUGGUGAGGUAAGUCGGAUGUGAAAGCUCGGAGCUCAACUCCGAAAUGGCAUUGGAAACUACCUUGCUAGAGGGUUGGAGGGGGGACUGGAAUGCUUGGUGUAGCAGUGAAAUGCGUAGAUAUCAAGCGGAACACCAGUGGCGAAGGCGAGUCCCUGGACAACUCCUGACACUGAGGCACGAAAGCUAGGGGAGCAAACAUG
rnacentral:rRNA from 1 species